rnacentral:lncRNA from 1 species
UGGGAAGCCUGGAAUGAGAGGUGGGAAUAGAGAAGGGGGAGGUGGUGGUGGGGAUGGAGUUAAACCAGGUAUGAGUGGUGGGAUAAGUGGAGGAAAUAGUGAAGGUGGAGGGCGCGGAGGUGAAGGGAUUAUUGGAGGAAUUAUUGAAGGUGGAGGAGAAGGGAAUAAGGGAGGAAAUAUGGAAGGAGGAGGAGAGGGGAUGACUGGAGGAAUAAUUGAAGGUGGAGGUUGAAAUGGGUUUGGAGGAAGGAUUGAAGGUGGUGGUAGAAGUGGAUUUGGAGGCAAGGGAAGUCCUCCUAUUGGAUUGAAAAAUUUUGGUCGAGCUGCAGCUUCUGAUUGAGAGUAACGUUCACUAGAGGCUUUAGGAACAGGUGAUAUUAUUGGAAGUCCUGGCAAAGGAGGGAGCAGUGGCAAAGGGGGUAGCCUAGGAAGAG